GAAUAUAAGACACCACCCAAAUAUGCAUUCCUUGGAGAAGCUGAACAAAAUGAGUCUGGCAUUCCUUCCAUGUCCUUUCCUUGCAUGCACUUC
ensembl:snoRNA SNORD116 Small nucleolar RNA SNORD116